AGCGAACGUUAGCGGCAGGCCUAACACAUGCAAGUCGAGCGAGAAAAGAAUUUCGGUUCUUAGUAAAGCGGCGAACGGGUGAGUAACACGUGGAUAAUCUGCCCUCUGGCGGGGAAUAACCAUCCGAAAGGAUGAAUAAUGCCGCGUAAGUCAUAAAAAUCUUUGGGUAUUUAUGGGAAAGGAGGCCCUUAAAAGCUUCCGCCAGAGGAUGAGUCCGCGGCCCAUCAGCUAGUUGGUGAGGUAAUGGCUCACCAAGGCUAAGACGGGUAGCUGGUCUGAGAGGAUGAUCAGCCACACUGGGACUGAGACACGGCCCAGACUCCUACGGGAGGCAGCAGUGGGGAAUAUUGGGCAAUGGGCGAAAGCCUGACCCAGCCAUGCCGCGUGAGUGAUGAAGGCCUCGGUCGUAAGCUCUGUGGGAGGGACGAAACCUAACAGGAAUAAUACCCUGUAAAUUAGACGGUACCGUUCCUUAGCAAGCACCGGCUAACUCCGUGCCAGCAGCCG
rnacentral:rRNA from 1 species